rnacentral:rRNA from 1 species
UAAGGAAUAUUGCGCAAUGGGCGAAAGCCUGACACAGCGACGCCGCGUGGGGGAUGAAGGUCUUCGGAUUGUAAACCCCUUUCGGGAGGGAAGAUGGAAUGGGGUAACCCAUUCGGACGGUACCUCCAGAAGCAGCCACGGCUAACUUCGUGCCAGCAGCCGCGGUAAUACGAAGGUGGCAAGCGUUAUUCGGAUUUACUGGGCGUACAGGGAGCGUAGGCGGUUCGGUAAGCCCUUUGUGAAAUCUCCAGGCUUAACCUGGAAAAGUCGGAGGGGACUGCCGGGCUAGAGGACGGGAGAGGAGCGCGGAAUUCCCGGUGUAGCGGUGAAAUGCGUAGAGAUCGGGAGGAAGGCCGGUGGCGAAGGCGGCGCUCUGGAACGUUUCUGACGCUGAGGCUCGAAAGCGUGGGGAGCAAACAGGAUUAGAUACCCGCGUAGUCCCUGAGCGGGCUGGCAAGGCGCAU